UUGCAAGGGAGCUCAUGUUAUGGGCUGAGAGUGGACUAUAAGCACCUGACCUUUUUACCUGAUCGGGAUAAUGCCCGCGUAGGAAGCGAGAUAA
rnacentral:ncRNA from 1 species